UUUCGUUCGGCUAGUUAUUCCCUGUCUCCCUCGAGGAGGCAAUCGCAUGAAGAUGAAGUUCGAUCCUCUCCCUCUCUCUCUCUCUCGGUCCGACCGAUCCAUCGUUUUCCGUCUCCCGAGCGCGCGGUUCGCUGAGAUUGAGCUGUGCGGCGGAGCAGCUUCGAGCUCGCACCGACGCUUGCGCAGGUACGAGCGGCCUCACCGAUGUGAUUGGAUCGGGGAAGGUGGCUUUGGACGACGCAGAUUUGAGCACGCAAAUGGACAAAGAUUUCAAAUAGACCGUAAAGGUCGAAGUCAUUCAUGGCUAUGUGGCCUCACCAAGGAAAAAGGGGUCAAGGAUUGGCACUGUAGAGAGAUUGGACUGUGACUGUGGUGGCAUUCGCAAUAGUUUGUUACCCUUCUCAUGUUUUGUACCGUACUUGUAUCACGUGUACUUCUUUUAAAUCCUUGAUCCCUGUACAAAGAUUCCUCCAUGAAAGUAUUCGCCAUGUGAAGAAAUAUAAUGUAGAAGAUGUCUAGAUAAAGGAUCCUCAUGAUGUAUACUUUUUGUCUCAAUCCCCGUUUAGAGUCACUCUUGAGUCAUAUCUUAUGGCUAGAGCAUCUGAAAUUUGCCCUUUCAAUGUGGCUAAGUGCGCUAAUAUAAUUUGAGAACUUCUGAUCUUACACUUAAGUGGUGCAAUAUUAACUUCUUCUGCAGUAAAUUUGUCUAAUCUUCUAUAAUCUGUGUCCUUAUCAUGAUGAGUUUUAUUUUGGUGUUUCUGCGUAUUGAACUAUUUUGGAGGUAGUGACAAAAUGCAAUUGAAUUGGAACAGGUAGCAUUAGUUAAUGCCUGCCAUGUUAUGUUGUGGAGCUAGACAUAUAUAUUCUUUUCAAAUGGAUUAAUCUGGAGGCUGAUUUUUUUUUUUUUUUAAUUUAUUGCAUCCACAUGUAGGUUUUAUUGGAACAGAGCUCAUACUCUACGUAACUUAGGCCUUUUGUCCCCUGAAAAAAUCUUAAUGUGCAGCCUGUAUGUGUACUUGUGUAGUGCGGAGUGCAUGAGGUUUAAAAUGAGAGAACUAGAGCACUUCUUAACGGUGUUCAAAUUUUAUUAUCUUAUUAGCAGUUUUACCUACUAAAGGUCUUAAAAUUAGCCAUCUUGAUUCCAUUCCAUUCAUCCACUAGAGAAGUUAAAUGUUCCUUACGAGGGCAUGAUGUAGGAUGACCUUGAAAACCCUCCAGUUGGUCCCCUGUAUUCUCUCUGUUGGAUCCCACUCUGUAUUGAAUUUCUAUACCUCAGAUUAUCUUUGCCAUCAUGUUCUAUGGCUUUGAUUUCUUUAGGGCUUAGACGCUUAAGUAUUGUUUAUGUAUUUAUUUGUAAAGGUUGAACGUCAUGAUUGAAUACGUUUUGGGUAUGCUUAUGCCCAUUGUACCAUAGCACUUGAAUGGUCCAUGAAGACUAAUUUAAACAUGAGAGGACUAUAUAAUUAUAAGACUAUGAUGGUUCUAGCCUCUACAAUUCCUCAUAAGAUAGUUUCUCUCGGGGCAUGGCUUAAGCCAAAUAAAUCUAUUUCAGGCUAUUAUAUGGAUGGGUUUGUUUUCUAUCUCGAUCCUUUUUGGCUAGUAGUAUCAAGGUAGGAUUUUACUUUUGGGUACUGCCGAGAAUAUGUUGCGAAUGCUUUUUUGUGGAGGGUUAGAUUAAUUGAAGAAUCCUGUUCUUUGCAACAGCUUCCUGCAUGAACAUUGAAUUACUUCACCUCAAUGCUCCUGAGUCUAGUACAUGAACAAUGCUUUUUCAGCAAAGUCUCCCAAAUUUUUGUGGUUGUCACUGGGCUCUUUUCAAUUGCUUUGCUGGCAUUCUUAAAAUGCGGUAUGCUGAUGUUGGAUAGGGAGGACUACGUCACCAAGUUUGAAACUCAGUGCUUGAUGGACAAAAUCAGUUGAAUUGGAUGCACUUCCUGGUAUGUUUUCAAGAAAUCGCUGGUUCCUUUUCUGCAUCAUAUGUUGAUGAAAGAUGAUAAAAAUUAAUCAUAGGGUCAAGUGAUAAACAGUGCCAUGAAGGACAUCAAAUUACCGAUAUCUUGUGUUCAAAUUGUAAAAUGAUGCUUCAGCUUGUUCUUGUUGAUUAUCGCAGAAAUUGCAGCGUAUCAACUUCAACAUUAUUAGCAGAUUCUAUUAUAUGCUAAACAUGAUGUUACUAGGUGGCAAAUCUUAAUGGUAGGUGUGGCUUUUGGUUUCUAAAUGCAUAAUACCAAAAAUUCUCGUUGGCGCUCUAUAUUCUCUACUUUCACUGUUUCUGGCAAAACUUGUCAUCGUUCUUAAGGGAUAAAAUGGUUUAGCAAGUGCAAUCAAUUUAUAUUCAAGAUUCAUUUUGUCGUCCGCUUAGUGUGUAACACAUUUUCAUAUGUCACCAUAAUGAGGCUCUAUGGGCUAAAGAAGCCAUGAUAUGCACAAGUCAAAGUGUAUGAAUUCUAUAGAAGUCUAGAUAGUCCUUUGAACGUAAAAAAUUUUCGGCUUAUUCUCAAUCAAAUAAUUUCGCGAGCAUGAAUAUGCUCAAUACUGGUGUAGAUUGUUGAUUUCAUUUUGUUUCUGAGAUCGAGGUUUGAUAUUCAACCCAGAAACAUCCACUAGACCUGUUAGAUACAUCAACUUGAAAGUUGGGUUAUUAGCUACUUUAGUUGAGGCAUAUGCUUCGUCUCCAGUUGCUUAGCACGUUCAGAGUCUCUAGUAUCUUCCCUGAUGUCCCUGCCUGCAUAAAGAAGAACAUAUGUUGAAGUCCUAAUAUACAAGGUCACUUCUGUGCUUAUAAUGAAAGGGGAGGACUGUCCGCUGUUGGAAGAGAGAUUAGACAGAAGUAUGUGAGUACAAUUCUUUGUUUUCAUGAGCUUCUGAUCAUUAAAUUAUUCUGUGAACAUUACUGUUGCCCCUGGCUUGGAAAAUCUGAGUAUAUUGCCUUUUGCAUUCCCCGAGAACAAUUUGUCUCUCUGGUGGCCUAAAAAGCUGUAAUUAAUAGUUCUUGUGAGGCAAAGUUUAUUGGAAAGAGGGAUCUGAACAUGUCAUUAAAGGUACUUUGCAUAUUUCAUGAUGUUGGCCAUGUUGUACAAAAGAAAUUAAAAUUUUAGACACAAGAUUUUGAGAUUUUCUAGUGCCUUCCGUGGUAAAAUGGCAGGAAGAAUGCUAUUGGUCUGACUUAGAUGAGUUUUUUUUCAAGAGAAACUUUGCAAUUCAUUCAUUCUGCGGGUUCUGUGUAGAAAGAUGCGGCAUCUCUAAUUUUCUCAUAGACUCUUUUGGUUCAUUAGACACUUGAGUCUGCCAUUCGUAGUUAACACGUGUAUUCAUGUUCUUCACCUGGCAAAAAUGAUAUUACAUCUUUAGGAGAGAAAAUUCAAAUGCCCUUUGUGUUAAAUACCUUAAGCAAUUUUCUAUUUGUUUUAGCUCAAAUGCUGCUGCAACUUAGUUUGUGCGUUCUUGAUGUUUGUUGAAAGCAGCGGAAGCUUUAAAAUUAUCUGUGGGCAUUGUUGCAUCAGAUGAACAUGCAAAUGUAAAGCUGAAAGAAAUCUCAGUGUAUUUACAUUUUCCAAGUGCUUGAAUCGUCUUAAAGUUUUCGUCUGGUUCGAUUCUUAAAUUUCCGAGGAGAAUGGUGGAUUAGAUAUAUGUGCCUGUAUUUUCUCCCUGGUUUCACUAAGCAUAAUGAUAUUUCGGAUUUUGAACUCAUGUUAUUUGUGACAUUUAAUGAGAUUCUCAUGGGCUUGUAUCAUUAUAAGAUUAAUGCUCAAAGGUAAUCUAGUCGACCAUUAUGAACAUGUCUGGCUGAAUAAGUUUUGGCUCUUAUACAAUAUCUCAGUCAAAGAAACAUUACUUUGUUUGCAUGGUCCCUCGAUGAAGACAUAAUAAUGUCCUUCUGCAGUUGUUGCACCUGGUUUGCUAACGCAGCUGCAAUCUGCUUAAACAUUGGUAAAAUUGUGGUAAAAAUUUCAUAAGCAUGCCGACCUUUAAAGAUUGGAAUAUAUGUUGAAAGAAGAUAUAUACCCUAAAUUUGUAGUUCUAGAUGACGUCUCACAGUUCUGAUGACGUGGCUGGCUUAGUUGGAGAUGGACAGGUACUUGAGCAUCUUCAUCAAUGUUCGGUCCAUUUGGUAGAAGACUCGUUUGUGCUCCGUUUAUGUUAUUUGCAUCUCUUGUUUCAUAGACCUGGGAUAUGGAAUGCUUUUGUUCAGACCGAGUAUAGAAUCUGAGGUAAAUGACUAUGACAGAACUUUAUAGUGAUAAGAUUAAUACCUUCUUGAACAAUUCCACAUUCUCUUGUUUAAAUAGAUUUUCUUUCUUAUGCAAUUCCAAAUUUUCCUGGUGAAGAAGGCUUCCCUGCACGGAUUUGUGGUUGAAAUUUAGCAACCUGAAUGAGGAAAACAGUAAAGUUAGCAGUCUGACUGAGUUAAAUACUUUACCUUUCUGUUCAGCUCUUGUAUUUCUUCUGUUAAAACUUGGUCCUGCAAAAGUAUGAAGCCUGUUUGUCAUUCAAGAUCCUUGGAAGCAAGUUGGAUCGAUUCUAUGAAUCAGCAUGUAAGAAGUGAACCUUUUUUGUGCGGACACCACGGAGACUUAUUUCCAUUUGGUUCUCCAAAUUCCGCAAAUCUUUGAUGCUCAAGCCUGAGAGUUCUUCUCCCAUCAAUUGCCUGUCAGCGUCGUGCGAUGCAGAUGACAGCUGGCACGCCUUCAACUUUUACAGUUCUGAUAUCCUAUGUCCUGCCUGUCUUUCCAUUUACCUUAUGUACAUGUGAUGUUGAGCCCUGCCAUAACUUAAAUUUCGUGGGGGGAGUUGUGUGCUUUUAGAAAUGCUCCAUGUUUUAAAUGAAGUCGUGAGGCCUUUAGCUGAACUGGAUCCUUCAACUAGAGAUGGAAUUCCAGGAUCUGAAAACCUACCUUGGCAUGGGAAAGGAAAUUAGAUCAUGGUGCUCAGGGGUGACAAAAAAAAAAAAAAAAAAUUCGGAUCUCCUUCUGUGGCAUGAAUGAGUUUUCUCUUGGGCCUUUACUCCCUUUGAAUUCCCUGUAAAUAAGAUUUUGUUAUUUAAAUUUGGCGUGUGCGAAUUUAUGCUAAAAGUUGCACCGGCUACAUUUUGGUCAGUUGGAACUGUCAAUUCUUUUUUAAAUGCCCAGACAGCAGUUGGAUGGAAAUCCAGAACAGUGAGUUGAGAACAGUGAGUUGUUUCCAAGUAUUCUUUCUUGCUGGACGUGGAGAUGCAUAAGGGGUCAAAAUCUAGAAUGUCCUUUUCUUCAGAAAAUCCAAUGAAUCCAAUGAGAAUGAACCUAGAACCGAAACAGCAACAACAUGAAAAUUGGACGAAGAUAAACAGCAGCAACACAAAAGCGAAACAAAGACCUCAGUACUAGAGUAAUUCUUCGUCAUUGCCUGGUGAAGCCUCCUUCCUCAGAAUGACACUACACUAAUAAGGUCACAAGGGUUGCACGAAGACCAGGCAAAGGAGUAAGGGCAGAUAGUUACUCAUCUUAACACUGACCCUUUCGGUAAUUAACAGCUAUUAAUGGUAUUCACUCGUCAGAUUGGCACCAUGGAAGCAUCGCCAUAAGAAAUGAAAAGAAAAUGCACGAGAAGAGAAGAUGUACCGAUGAUUUUCUCGGAGUUGCUGCAAUUGUUGCCUUAAUAUUGCUGCUUCCCUUUGCCAAUACUGUCGAAUAAACUGUGUAAUUUAGUGAAUAUACUGGGAUUUGGGCGGUCUCACAAUGUCCGUGUACUGGAAGGAAAUAGUGUACAUGAAAAUGCAUGGUCAUGACAAUCAAAAGUCUCUCCGGGUAACUGUGGGAUGAUUCUUC